rnacentral:rRNA from 1 species
AUUGAACGCUGGCGGCAGGCCUAACACAUGCAAGUCGAGCGAGCGGCGGACGGGUGAGUAAUGUCUGGGAAACUGUCUGAUGGAGGGGGAUAACUACUGGAAACGGUAGCUAAUAUCGCAUAUCAUCAGAUGUGCCCAGAUGGGAUUAGCUAGUAGGUGGGGUAAUGGCGCACCUAGGCGACGAUCCCUAGCUGGUCUGAGAGGAUGACCAGCAACACUGGAACUGAGACACGGUCCAGAUUCCUACGGGAGGCAGCAGUGGGGAAUAUUGGACAAUGGGCGAAAGCCUGAGGCAGCCAUGCAGCGUGUAUGAAGAAGGUCUUCGGGUUGUAAAGCACUUUUAGAGGGGAGGCGUUACCCGAAGAAGAAGCACCGGCUAACUCCGUGCCAGCAGCCGCGGUAAUAC